UACGUAUGGUGCAAGCGUUAUCCGGAUUUAUUGGGUUUAAAAGGUGCGUAGGCGGGAUGCCAAGUCAGCGGUAAAAAUGCGGUGCUCAACGCCGUCGAGCCGUUGAAACUGGCGUUCUUGAGUGGGCGAGAAGUAUGCGGAAUGCGUGGUGUAGCGGUGAAAUGCAUAGAUAUCACGCAGAACUCCGAUUGCGAAGGCAGCAUACCGGCGCCCUACUGACGCUGAGGCACGAAAGCGUGGGUAUCGAACAGG
rnacentral:rRNA from 1 species